rnacentral:rRNA from 1 species
GUGGACGCUUGCCUUAAAGAUUGAGCCAUGCAAGCCAGCGAAGGUAACGGAGCGGCAAACGGCUCAGUAGGACAGGGACAUCUGACCACCGUACAGGAUAACCGCGGUAAUCUGUGGCUAAUACUAGAGUGGGUGAGACUCUGGCCUAUCAGCUUGGCGGUACGGUAAGUGCGUACCGUGGCGACGACGGGUAACGGGGAAUCGGGGUUUGAUUCCGGAGAGGGAGCCUGAGAGAUGGCUGCCACGUCCAAGGACGGCAGCAGGCGCGGAAAUUACCCACUUGGAGGACCAGAGGUAGUGACGAGGCGUUAUUAAUGAGAGCAGUGUAAAAAGCUGUUUGAAAGCAACUGGAGGGCAAGUCUGGUGCCAGCAGCCGCGGUAAUUCCAGCUCCAGGAGCGUCUGUGUGUGUUGCUGCGGUUAAAGAGUGCGUAGUCUGAUUAAUUGCCAGCAAUAAAGGUGCGGUCUUUAGCUGUGCAUUAUGCUGGUACUUUGAUCUAGGGACUGGAACAGGGCAACGGUAUUCGACAGCGAGGGGUGAAAACUGAUGACCUGUCGAGGAGCGACUGAGGCGAAAGCGGUUGUCUGGGACGGGUUCGACGAUCAAGCGCGUGAGCAGGAGGAUCGAAGGCGAUUAGAGACCGUCGUAGUUCCUGCAGUAAACGAUGCCAACGGGAAUGCAAGGAAUGUGUUCCGAGGGAAACCGAGUGUAUGGGCUCCGGGGAUAGUACAGGCGCAAGCCAGAAACUUGAAGAAAUUGACGGAAGGACACCACAAGGAGUGGAGUGUGCGGGUUAAUUUGACUCAACGCGGGACAACUUACCAGGGUAUGUAACGUUGAGUGAAGGGUAUGGAUGUGAUCUGUAUUCUGAUAGUGUUACGCGUGGUGCAUGGCCGUUCUCAACACGUGGGGUGACUUGUCUGGUUAAAUCCGAUAACGCGUGAGACCCUGGAAAUUGACGAUACUUGACAAGAGUAGGGAAGCUCGGGUCGAUAACAGGUCUGUGAUGCCCGUAGAUAUUCUGGGCGCCACGCGCACUACAGUGGGAGAGGAUACGUGAAACGGAACUCUCUUGCGGUUGGGAUUGACGUUUGUAAAUACGUCAUGAACGCGGAAUUCCUAGUAAUUUGUUGUCAUUAACGACAGAUGAAUGAGUCCCUGUUCUUUGUACACACCGCCCGUCGUUAUCUAAGAUGAAUGUGCGGAUGAAGUUGGUUAGGCCAAAAGAAUCCGUGCGAUUAGAUUGGAUACAAGUCGUAACAAGGUUGCGGUAGGAGAACCUGCCGCAGGAUCAAUAA